CGGGGUGGAGUAAUGUCUGGGAAACUGCCUGAUGAGGGGGGAUAACUACUGGAAACGGUAGCUAAUACCGCAUAACGUCGCAAGACCAAAGUGGGGGACCGUUCGGGCCUCAUGCCAUAAGAUGUGCCCAGAUGGGAUUAGCUAGUAGGUGGGGUAACGGCUCACCUAGGCGACGAUCCCUAGCUGGUCUGAGAGGAUGACCAGCCACACUGGAACUGAGACACGGUCCAG
rnacentral:rRNA from 1 species